UCCCAUUGUACAAUCACCGAAGUUAAGCAUCGUUAAGCCUGGUCAGUAACUAGGUGAGUGACCGCUUGGGAAUACCAGGUGCUGUAAG